rnacentral:rRNA from 1 species
UACGGAGGAUGCGAGCGUUAUCCGGAUUUAUUGGGUUUAAAGGGUGCGUAGGCGGGAUGCCAAGUCAGCGGUAAAAAUGCGGUGCUCAACGCCGUCGAGCCGUUGAAACUGGCGUUCUUGAGUGGGCGAGAAGUAUGCGGAAUGCGUUGUGUAGCGGUGAAAUGCACAGAUAUCACGCAGAACUCCGAUUGCGAAGGCAGCAUACCGGCGCCCUACUGACGCUGAGGCACGAAAGCGUGGGUAUCGAACAGG